AACACAUACUACAACACAUAAACUCUGGACGUAACAGUGAAUGAUAGCAGAAUCAGUCAGGUGUCUGGCAGUCAGCCAUUUUCUGAUCACGCUUAUUCCUCAUGGUAGUCAUUUGCGUUCCAUGGCUCAUGAAGACAAGACGGAAUAGUCCGGUUGGAACUUUAUUGAAGAGGUGAGUGGCAUUAGACGUGAGUUAUUCUCCUCCAGAGGAGGAGAAGAGGGCAAGUGACCUGGCAGAGGAUGCUGAAACCCUUCUAAAGACGCUGUUCCUGUUCUGUUUCAUGUCCCUGUUUCACCUGUACUUGCUUCUCGCAUCCAGCGUCAAGCCUCAAAGAAUGCUGACACCACUAAAGAAAGCAUCAGGAGGUUUUUGGUUUUGGUGACGUCGGGUCCGGGUGCCGUCGCCAAUGGAACCAGGGGUGCCUCAGCUAGCUCGUUGGGCUUCCAUGCCUUAGUUUGCUCGAGAAGUCGUCUUGUCCCGUUUGGCUCGGCAGAUGCCUACCCCACAUCAUGCUUCAGCCGGCCCACAGGCUCCCACCCCUUAGCGGGUUCGAAUGGCUUUCACGCCUCAUGCAGAACAUGGGGGUCCCACACCUCAGCCGGCUCGCCGGGCUCCCACGCCUCAGCUAGGUCACCGGGCUCCCACGCCUCAGAGGGAGUCAGGAUGCCUACCAUUACGGAACUGUCUCCAUCAUUACGCACAACUGCGCAAUAUUGGACUCACCUGGACUCCAUUACUUUAUUGAUUACCCACUCUAUAUCUGUCUGCUCCUGUUAAGAUAUUUUAUCAAGGUUUAAGAUAAAUGAUUAAAUAAUUAUACUCAGAACCUUAACCAUUAGGGAUUAGAGGUCUUGUAGCAUGAACAAGGAUUAAUAAAAAAUGGGGGUGGGGAAGAGAGGAAUACAUGUGUGUGCCUAACGAAAACAAAGAGGGUCCUUAACCUAUAUUUGAACUGACUCAGCUAUAACUCUGUGGCGAAAAUAUAAGACAGCAAGAGCCCCUCCAGGUUUUCCGUAUCUGGGGGGGACUGGAACUAUCUGCUAAGUGAAAAUAAACUGUGGUGAGACGUCAUGAGUUAAUCCAGAUAUAGUGUGUCGUGUAUGUGCGCUAGUGGGUUGGAAUGGACUUUAGAAGUAGCUUUUUCCUUGUUCGAGAGAAGGAGGAGCCUUCAAGACGCUAUGAUGAAAUGUGUGGUAUAUAAACCAAUGUACAUUGUAUUAUGACCAGCGCUCUCGAGAAUAAAUGCUAUUGGCUAAUUUCAGGUGACUGGUCUCUGUCCAUUUUAUACAAAUAAGGAUCUUACAAAUUCUUAGAAACGGACAGAGUAUGUUAAAUUGAAUUGGUUAAUGAACCCAUAAAAACUAAAUUAAUCUAACAGCUCCUCACUUUGUUUCCUGUGUCAGCAUUGAUGUCGUUAUUUUUCCCAUGUCCAGAUGCUGUUCCUGUUCUGUUUCAUGCCCGUGUUUAAUUAAAUGUU